GGGGAAUAGUGGACAAUGGACGCAAGUCUGACAUAGCCAAGUCGCGUGAAGGAGGACGGUCGUUCGGGUUGGAAACUUCUUUCAUACGAGAAAAAAGUGCCGCGUGUGUGGGGUUUUGCAUGUACCUUAUGAAGAAGGCUCGGCCAUCACCGUGCCAGCAGCCGCGGUAAUACGGAGGAUCCGAGCGUUAUCCGGAUUUAUUGGGUUUAAAGGGUGCUCAGGCGGGGGGUUAAGUCGGCGGUGAAAUUUUGCAGCUCAACUGUAAAAGUGCCUUCGAAACUGGUUCCCUUGAGUGCGGAUGAGGUAGGCGUAAUGUGUGGUGUAGCGGUGAAAUGCGUAGAUAUCACGAGGAACUCCGAUUGCGCAGGCAGCUUACCAAGCCGUAACUGACUCUCAAGCACGAAGGCGUGGGGAUCAAACA
rnacentral:rRNA from 1 species